rnacentral:sRNA from 2 species
UGAAAGUGUACCUAGGGUUCCGACGAAUGAUGGCAUUUGUGCUGGUCCAAGUGGUACAGGCAUAGGAUAUAUGCUACACCGAUAGGAUAAAAGCCUGGGCGGG